CAGCAUUCUUGCAUACUUUGCAUGAUUAGGAUAGCUUUGCAUACAUAUUGCAUUUCUGAGUUGUUUCCAGGUGAUUUGGAGCUGUUUGCGAGCAAAUUGGAAGAAACGAGCCAGAACCAGAAGACAUACUCGACCACCAGGU
rnacentral:sRNA from 1 species